GGUAAGUACAAGCCUAACUACCCUCUAGCUCACAGACCUGCCCGGUGAAUAGAGCUUUGUUUUUUUGAUGGGCUUGUGAUGACUUUGAGAUCAAUUGCUCAUUCAUUACAGUAAAAAAAAAAAAAAAAUUGUUUUGAACAUGACAGCAAAAAUAACUUUAAGCACAACUUAAUAAUAAUAGAUCACCAAUUUUAGUUAAUAAUUUUAUGCUAUACUCUUGGGUGAGGGAAGACUCGGACACUCAAUAUGAGAUCAGCAAGCUAUGUUUAUUGCAGAGAGUAUCAGACACUUAUACAGCACAUAAUAAGCUUAUGAAUAUUCUGUAAGCCAAGCGAUCUAUUGGUUAAACUAUACCAUCAACUCUUCCUCAUUCCUUUGGGCCUACAUUCCCUAUUUCCCACGUCUCUCUGUCUACUUGUUAUCCUACCCAGCUAGGCCCAGGCACACGCUAUCUUGCAGGUGCAAAACUCAAACUACCUGUGUUCGGUACUUUCCCAGCUCCUGGUCGGCUAACAAGCGAAUGUCUGUGUGACCUCUGUCAUGGAGCCAUUUCUCCACACUAUACUAUCAAAGUUUAAAGGGAUCAGUGAAUUUUAACUCUGGAGUCCUCUAUGCUAAGGAUGCUCAGCUUACAGAUGAUGAAAUGUUCAGUAAUGUAUUUGCUGGAGCUGUGCUUACCCAAGGUUUGGGUAAAACAAGCUUUGGGUUCCUUCUGUCUCACUGGGAGUUGCCCAAUUCAGUUGCAUCUGGUGAAAUUCACCCUGAGACCUUACAGAACUAGCUCCAACUACGUGAGAGCCAUUUGCAGUUCUCUCCAGACACCUGGAGAAUGGGCGACGUUUCUGAGGAUCCGGCGAGCGUGCUUCUGUCAAAACUCAGUCUGUGAAAUUUCUGGGGAAAACACUUCUGUGUCCUGAAGGGUUCAAACUCUGGUGAGGAUCCAGUUAUCAGGUGCUCACCUGGAUGGUUCCAGCUCCCAAAGGGAAAGGCUCUCGUAUCCUUGUCGUCGGGCUCGGUGCUGUCCAAGAAGAUACAGAGACUAAAAAAAUCAUAAGAAGCAAAUAUGACUGCAGGGAAAAGAAGCUGGAGAGAACAGAAGGGGCUGUUUCCAAAGUGACCUACAGACAUUGGAAUGAAAUCAUUAUUUACUGUGUAAAAGAAUCACUCUCCAAAGCAUCAGCCAGGGUCUAAAUGUGCCAUUCUGCCUUUUAAAAGUACCAACAUCACAGGAUUUUUCUCAGAUUAAAGCUUCCAUGGAGUCGGAUCUCUCAAGCCUGGCCCUUGAGAAUUGUGGGCCUCCUGUGAACUGGUUUUGCCAGAAGGGCUUGCUGAGUUUUCCAUUGUGUGGAAAAGAGAUCCCAUUUGCAGCCUGAAGCCUCAUGUUUCCUGUAGGAUUUCCACUCCUAGAAUUGCACACUUUGAAGGAUUUCUUAUAGCAGAAGUUUUUUGGGAACUAGGACUCUGGCUGGAUUUGGGUCUCUGGACUCUCAGGUGAAGUGACCUUGAGACACUAGGGCGUGCAGAUUUCCUUGCUGUUGUAAAGAGCUAUUGUUCGCACCCAGGAGCCAUGGUCUGAAUGGGGGUGUCACCUCUUAAAUUUGCAAAUGUCACAGGAUUUCUUCUAAAUGAAUGGUGCUAAGAACAUAA